UAGGGAAUCUUCCACAAUGGACGAAAGUCUGAUGGAGCAACGCCGCGUGAGUGAUGAAGGGUUUCGGCUCGUAAAACUCUGUUGUUGGAGAAGAACAGGUGAUAGAGUAACUGUUAUCAUCUUGACGGUAUCCAACCAGAAAGCCACGGCUAACUAUGUGCCAGCAGCCGCGGUAAUACGUAGGUGGCAAGCGUUGUCCGGAUUUAUUGGGCGUAAAGCGAGCGCAGGCGGUUUUUUAGGUCUGAUGUGAAAGCCUUCGGCUUAACCGGAGAAGGGCAUCGGAAACCGGGAGACUUGAGUGCAGAAGAGGACAGUGGAACUCCAUGUGUAGCGGUGAAAUGCGUAGAUAUAUGGAAGAACACCAGUGGCGAAGGCGGCUGUCUGGUCUGUAACUGACGCUGAGGCUCGAAAGCAUGGGUAGCGAACAGGAUUAGAUACCCUGGUAGUCCAUGCCGUAAACGAUGAGUGCUAAGUGUUGGAGGGUUUCCGCCCUUCAGUGCUGCAGCUAACGCAUUAAGCACUCCGCCUGGGGGAGUACGACCGCAAGGUUGAAAC
rnacentral:rRNA from 1 species